rnacentral:lncRNA from 1 species
CAUGAAGUGAUUACUGAAUUUAUUCUAAACUUUUUCUUCAUCCAAUAAGAUAUUCAUGUGAUUAUUCUUUUUUAGACUGUUGACGUGGUGAAUUACAUUGAUGGCUUUUCAAAUGUUGAGUGAGCCUUGCAUUCUGGGGAUAAGCCCCACUUGAUCAUGCCAUAUUAUUAAUAUCUUUUAAAUAUAUUUUUGGAUUCAAUUUGAUAAUAUUUUAUAAGAUUUUUGUGUCUGUGCUCUUAAAGGAUAUUGGGUUGACAUUUUCUUAAUUGUAAUGUCUUUGGUUUUAUUGGGUAAUGCCAAUCUCAUAAAAUCAAUUGAGAAGUGUUCCUUCCUCUUCUUUAUCUGGAAGAGAUUAUGUAAAAUUAUUAUUUCUUCCACAAUGUUUGGUAAACUUCAUCAGUGAAACCACUGGGGCCUAGAGAAUUCUUUUUGGAAGGUUUAAACUACAAAUUCAAUUUAAAAGUUAUACAUACAUAUAUAUGAAAUAAAUCAUUGCUUUAACAUAAACUUUUUUCUUCCUGAAUGAAUUUGGUAAUUUUUUUUAAUUUUAAAAAUUAGUGCAUUUUGUCAAAUUUACAAACAGCUUUUCAUAGUACUGUUCCCUUGUUAUCCUCUUAAGGUCUGUGGGGUUAAUAGUGAUGUUUCUUCUCUCAUUUCUGAUGUUUCUAAUUUGCAUCUUAUUUUUCUUGGUCAUCCAGGCUAGAGGUUUAUCAAUUGUGCUGAACUUUUAAAAUAAUCAACUUUUAGUUUCAUUAAUUUUCUCUAUUGUUUUUCUGUUUCCAAUUUAUUUGAGUUCUGGUCUUCUAAUAAUACUUUCCUUCCUUCUACUUACUUUGGGUUUAUUCUGUUCUUUUUCUAGUUUUGUCACUUGCAAGCUUAGAUCCUUGAUUUGAGAUGUUGUUCUUUUCCAAUAUAAGCAUUUAUAAAUUUCUCUAAAUCACCGUUUUAAAUGCCUUCUGCAAAUUUUGAUAUGUUGCAUUUUCUCUUUCAUUUACUUUUCUAAAUUCCUUUGUGGCUUUCCUUUUGGCCCAUGGGUAAUCCAGAAGUAUGUUGGUGUAUUAGUCCGUGCUUGCAUUGUUAUAAAGAAAUGCCUGAGGCCAGGCACGGUGGCUCAUGUCUGUAAUCCUAGCACUUUGAGAGACUGAAGUAGGCAGAUGCUUGAGACUAGCCUCAGCAACAUGGCAAAACCCCGUCUCUACAAAAAAUUAAAAAAUUAGCUGGGUGUGGUGGUGCAUGCUUGUAGUCCCAGAUACUCUGGAGACUAAGGUGGGAGGAUUCUUUGAGCCAGGAAGAUGGAGGUUGCAAUGAGCUGAGAUUGUGCCACUGCACUCCAGCCUGGGUAAUAGAGCAAGACUGUCUGUCACACACAAGAAAAAAAAAAAAAGAAAGAAAGAAGAAAAGAGAAAUACCUGAGACAGGGUAAUUUGUAAAGAAAAGAGGUUUAAUUGACUUAUGGUUCUGUAGGCUGUUCAGGAAACAGCUCUGGCAUCAGCUUCAGAAGAGGCCUCAGGAAGCUUACAAUCAUGGCAGGUGAAGCCAGGAGUGGGAACACCACAUGAAUAUCGCAUAGUAGGAAUCAUACAAUAUAUAAUCCUUUCAGAUUGGCUUCUUUAACUUAAUAACAUGUAUUUAAGUUUCUUCCUUGUAUUUUCAUGCCUUGAUAGCUCAUUCCUUUUAGAACUGAAUAAUGUUCCAUUGUAUGGAUAUACCACAGUGUAUUAGUCAGGGCUCCGUGGAGGGACAGAACUAAUAGGAUAGAUGUAUAUAUGAAGGGGAGUUUAUUAGGGAGUAUUGACUCACAUUAUCACAAGGCAAAGUCACUCAAUAAGCUAUCUACAAGCUGAGGAGCAAGGAAGCCAGUCCAAGUCCCAAAACCUCAAAAGUAGGGAAGCCAACAGUGCAGCCUUGUCUGCAGCUGAAGGUCUGAGAGCCCUUGGCAAAACACUGGUACUAUCUGUACUUUAUGAGUGAUACUUCCAAUGUUAUCUCAGUUUUCGGAACCUCUACUUGGCAGCUUUGACUUGUCACUCACUCAGCUUGUAUUGAUGGGGUGGGGCAGUCUCAGAUUGUUUUAUAGGUGCAAUUAUUUAACUUCUUUAGAUGAGGGUUGUGCUUUAUGUUACUCUCUGAAGCCUCAUUUAUUUGCCACAUGGUGGGUACAUGAAGAUACAUGCUAAAUGAAAGUUGUGCAAAGAGCUCUGAACUUGGAGGCAGAUGACCUUGGACUUUUACUCAGUCUGUGUUACACAUGAGCUUGGAUAAGACUGAUCUUUCAGCUUUCUUCAGACCUUAAGCAUGAGAUAUAAAACAAGUAGAACAUAUAAAUAAAUAGAAGAAAAUAUACACAAAUAUUACAUGAUCUUUGAAUUGUAAGACUCACUAAGCAUAAAUGCCACUGAAGAAACCACAAAGAAGAGAUUUGCCAGUAUGGAAAGCUUUUUAAUUCUAUAUAUCAGAAAAUAUAAUAAAAUUAAGAGGCAAAUGACCUAUUGAGAAAAAUACUUCUACUUGAGUCAUGGAUUGUGUUACCUCCUGGUUACGAUGUGUGACAAUACAUACAGAAUACUGCCAACCAGUGAUGCUCACCUGAGCCUUUGAUGUCCAGAGGGUCAAAGCCCUCACCAUAAAUCACAUCUCUAGACUGGUGGCCAAAGCCCUCAGGCCAACAAAGAUACUCAUAACACGCUGGGCAUUCCAGGGGCCUAGAGAUCACCUCCCGGUAGCCAAAAGCCCUAAGUUAAUUCUUCACUACACAGAAACCUAUCAUUUUAUCCCUAUCAAGUUGACAAAGUGUACCAGAUGCCAUCAGCGCUGGGACACAUUUCUGGACAUUUCAGCGCUCCCCAUUAGAUUUCUAAGGGCAGUAUUUGCAACUCCAUGCCUGAGGGCUUAAAAAAAAAUGCUGAAGGCCCUGUGCCCUUUUCCUUAAGUAGCCCUCACUUGGCAGUGGCUCACACCUGUAAUCCCAGCACUUUGGGAGGACAAGGCAGGUGGAUCAUGAGGUCAGGAAUUCAAGACCAGCCUGGCCAAGAUGGUGAAACCCCACCUCUACUAAAAAUACAAAAAUUAGCCAGGUCUCCUAAGUGAUCUUUCGUGUAAAAAGAAGUUUAGAAAAUGCUUUAGGAUAAAUUGUAUGAGGUUCAAUAGGGACAAAAAAGCACCUACAUCAUAAUAACAGUUAACAUGCACUUGUAAUAUCCUAAUUAGAUACAAGACAAGAAAAUAUAAGGGAAGCAAAUACAGUAAUGCCUUAUAAGCAUUGGUUUCUUAGAUUUGAUGAAAUGGGAUAUUUGCACAAAAUUUACCUAAGAAAUUGCUGUCGUUUUUACAUGAACAAGAUACCAGUAGCAGCCACUCCCCAGUUGUGACAAUCAAAAGUAUCUCCAGACAUUGCCAAAUAUCCUUUGGGAGGGUAGGGAAAAAUCAUCCCUGGUUGAGAACCACAGCUGUAGACUAACCAUUAGUUAUUCUGAAAGGUUAUCUGUCCACAGCCUUUAACGUUUCAAGUGCUAAUCCAUUGACCAUGAGACCUAGGCCAUUCACUAUGAUUAUUGUAUUGAUUUUUUGUUGGUGCUGUGACAAAUUACUACAAAUGUAGUGGCUUAAACAAUACAAAUUUAUUAUCAUACAGUUCUGAAGGGCUGCAUUUUUAACUGCCUGAUGUCCUUUUCUGUCUGUUUUUAUGAUUGCUGGCUCCUCCAGCUGUGUCCCAAACAGAUUCAUUGACUUUGCUUCUAAAUCUGCUCUUCUUCCCCAUAUCACUAGUUAUGUUAAUGGCUUUGCCAUCUUCCUAGAGCCAGAUUUCAACCUCAUUAUUUACCUCAUCUAACAUGCAAUUAUUUGCUAAAUCCUGGGGAUUCCAUUUCCACAGGAGCUUUUCAAUCUAUCCUUUCUUCCCUAUUCCCAGUGCUAUUCUCUUAUUUCAGGCCUCAAGUUGCUAUUUGUGGAUUAUGAAAUAGUCUUUCUAAAUGACCCCCUAGCCAGUCUCCAUAGCUUGUUUUUCCUUUUCUGUCAAUGGUCACACAGAAACAGCUAUUCUUAUGGAGCACUCUAAGUCAGUAAUACCCUUAACCUUCAAACCACUCCCUGAGCUGCACUGAGCCAAGUGUAAGCCAGAAGGCAGAAGUUCAAAUUCACAACCUAUAAAAAAAUACCAAGACAUCAUCGAAAAUCAAAUCCACAGGGAACUUUUGUACCCAAUUAAAAGAAAGGAAAGGACUCAGAUUAGCUGCAGGGUCAUAUGUGGCUGGGUGGAAUAUUGACAAUUCCUGGGACAGUGGAGGAAAGGCUAGGAGUCAUUGCAUGACUCAAUGCUCAACCUCUCCUUUGAAAAACUUGAAUAUUUAAAGAAUAAGAAAUAUUUAAAGAAUCUCUGAUUGAAGGUGUGCCACCUUAUUGCAUGCCUGAAAAUCCACCUGUCUGGUCGCAUUCUUCAGAUGAAGCAACUGAGGCUCAGAGGAUUUAAGUAAUUUGCCUGAGGUCAUGUAGACAGUAAGUGGCAGAAUUGGAAUUCUGUUUUAGGAAUUCAAAGUUUCAUAUUCUUUCCACUGUAUGACCUGGUUUCAUCCACAUUUGCAACUUCAUUUUCCAUUCUUUUCUUUUUAUCUUAAUGUUGCAGUAAAACCAAAUUCCUCACUCUUUUUUGUGGGACCUGGAACUUUUCCACCUUUAUAUCUUUUCUCAUGUGGUUCCCUCUGCCUAGAAUGGCCCAGAACCUAUCUUAAGCCGUGAAAAUUGUACCCUUGAAAAUCCAGCAUCAACAGCAUUGCUUCCAGGAAGGGAACAGACAGUUUCUCUCUGGCUUUAAUGCACCCCUUUCAUAAGAACUCAUAGAAUCACAUUGGGCCCACCGGCCCACAAAGAUCCCUACUUUGAAGUGAUAAGCACUAGUAGCAGCUCAUAGCUUGUUUAUGGCUGUUUCCAGUUUGUGCCUUUCGUUAUAGAUAGUCAUGCAUAGGUCUUCCUCUUUUAGUGAACACAUUGUUCACGAGGGAAGAGCUGUGUUUGAUUCAUCUUUAUGCUUCCCAUAGAGUCUUGCCCAUGAGAAGCACUCAAAAUACGUGUGGACUAAAGAAGCAAGUAAAGAGAAGAAAUACUUUGUCUAGAAUUGCCUAUUUCUUUCUGGUGUGGUCUGAAUGUGUUCCCCCAAGUUCAUAUGUUAAAACUUAAUCACCAAUGUGAUAGUAUUAAGACGACAGGCCUAAGUCCUGAGAGCAGAGCCUUCCUGGAUGGAAUUAGGGUCCUUACAAAAGAGCUUGAGGGAGUGUUUGUUCUUUUCUGUUCUUCUGCCAUGAGGAUACAGCAUUCACCCCCCUUUUUGCCCUUCUGUCCCUCCCACCAUGUCAGGACACAGUGCGUAAGGUACCUCCUUGGAAGCAGAGACCAGGCCGUUUCCAGCCACCAAACCUGCUGGCACCUUGAUCUUGGAUUUCCCAGCCUCCAGAACUGUGAGAAAUAAAUUUUUUAUUGUUUACAAAUUAC